AUGACUGUACCCGAAUAAGAAGGUCCGGCUAACUUCGUGCCAGCAGCCGCGGUAAUACGAAGGGACCUAGCGUAGUUCGGAAUUACUGGGCUUAAAGAGUUCGUAGGUGGUUGAAAAAGUUGGUGGUGAAAUCCCAGAGCUUAACUCUGGAACUGCCAUCAAAACUUUUCAGCUAGAGUAUGAUAGAGGAAAGCAGAAUUUCUAGUGUAGAGGUGAAAUUCGUAGAUAUUAGAAAGAAUACCAAUUGCGAAGGCAGCUUUCUGGAUCAUUACUGACACUGAGGAACGAAAGCAUGGGUAGCGAAGAGGAUUAGAUACCCUCGUAGUCCAUGCCGUAAACGAUGUGUGUUAGACGUUGGAAAUUUAUUUUCAGUGUCGCAGCGAAAGCGAUAAACACACCGCCUGGGGAGUACGACCGCAAGGUUAAAACUCAAAUGAAUUGACGGGGACCCGCACAAGUAGUGGAGCAUGUGGUUUAAUUCGAAGAUACGCGCAGAACCUUACCAACACUUGACAUGUUCGUCGCGACUUUAAGAGAUUAAAGUUUUCGGUUCGGCCGGACGAAACACAGGUGCUGCAUGGCUGUCGUCAGCUCGUGUCGUGAGAUGUUGGGUUAAGUCCCGCAACGAGCGCAACCCUCACUUUUAGUUGCCAUCAUUUAGUUGGGCACUCUGAAAGAACUGCCAGUGAUAAGCUGGAGGAAGGUGGGGAUGACGUCAAGUCCUCAUGGCCCUUACGUGUUGGGCUACACACGUGCUACAAUGGUAUCUACAACAGGAAGCAAAACUGCGAAGUUAAGCAAAUCCUUAAAAGAUACCUCAGUUCGGAUUGCACUCUGCAACUCGAGUGCAUGAAGCUGGAAUUACUAGUAAUC
rnacentral:rRNA from 1 species